rnacentral:rRNA from 1 species
GACGAACGCUGGCGGCGUGCUUAACACAUGCAAGUCGAACGGAAAGGCCCUGCUUUUGUGGGGUGCUCGAGUGGCGAACGGGUGAGUAACACGUGAGUAACCUGCCCUUGACUUUGGGAUAACUUCAGGAAACUGGGGCUAAUACCGGAUAGGAGCUCCUGCUGCAUGGUGGGGGUUGGAAAGUUUCGGCGGUUGGGGAUGGACUCGCGGCUUAUCAGCUUGUUGGCGGGGUAGUGGCUUACCAAGGCUUUGACGGGUAGCCGGCCUGAGAGGGUGACCGGCCACAUUGGGACUGAGAUACGGCCCAGACUCCUACGGGAGGCAGCAGUGGGGAAUAUUGCACAAUGGGCGGAAGCCUGAUGCAGCAACGCCGCGUGCGGGAUGACGGCCUUCGCGUUGUAAACCGCUUUCGCCUGUGACGAAGCGUGAGUGACGGUAAUGGGUAAAGAAGCACCGGCUAACUACGUG